rnacentral:rRNA from 1 species
UACGAAGGGGGCUAGCGUUGCUCGGAAUCACUGGGCGUAAAGGGCGCGUAGGCGGCCAUUCAAGUCGGAGGUGAAAGCCCAGGGCUCAACCCUGGAAUUGCCUUCGAUACUGUUUGGCUAGAGACCGGAAGAGGUAAGUGGAACUGCGAGUGUAGAGGUGAAAUUCGUAGAUAUUCGCAAGAACACCAGUGGCGAAGGCGGCUUACUGGUCCGGUUCUGACGCUGAGGCACGAAAGCGUGGGGAGCAAACAGG